rnacentral:rRNA from 1 species
UACGUAGGUGGCGAGCGUUGUCCGGAAUUACUGGGCGUAAAGGGUGCGUAGGCGGUGUUUCAAGUCAGAUGUGAAACCCCCGGGCUUAACCUGGGGCAUGCAUUUGAAACUGAGAUGCUAGAGUGCAGGAGAGGAAAGCGGAAUUCCUAGUGUAGCGGUGAAAUGCGUAGAUAUUAGGAAGAACACCAGUGGCGAAGGCGGCUUUCUGGACUGUAACUGACGCUGAGGCACGAAAGCGUGGGGAGCAAACAGG